rnacentral:rRNA from 1 species
UACCAGCACCCCGAGUGGUCGGGACGUUUAUUGGGCCUAAAGCAUCCGUAGCCGGUUCUACAAGUCUUCCGUUAAAUCCAGCUGCUUAACAGAUGGGCUGCGGAAGAUACUAUGGAGCUAGGAGGCGGGAGAGGCAAGCGGUACUCGAUGGGUAGGGGUAAAAUCCGUUGAUCCAUUGAAGACCACCAGUGGCGAAGGCGGCUUGCCAGAACGCGCUCGACGGUGAGGGAUGAAAGUUGGGGGGAGCAAACCGG